GGUUUAGCUCCUUUCCCGCUAUUAAACAUGUUGUGGCACCUGGAAUUUGAAAAAUGACAAAAAAAAUGUCGCAUUCGAUGACAAUGGAAGUUAGAGGUUGGAUUGAUGGAGAUGAGAGCGGCAGAGAGAUGCUGUCUAGGCUUCUUACAGAGCGCCCGUAUUUGCAUCUUCCUCCUUUUCAAAAAUUUCCUCUUCGCGUCGGUAAUGUAGUGGAGCUCGUUGGCCCUUCUCCUUGUGCCAAAACCCACAUCCUCAUGCAGGCUGCAAUCGAUUGCAUUCUUCCAAAACACUAUGGAGGAUUGGGUCACUUAGUAUUGUUCAUUGAUUUGGAUUGUCGUUUUGACAUCUUACGCCUAUCCCAAAUGCUCCGCAAUCGAAUUUUCCAGGCAAAUAUAUUGGAGCUUUUCACUGGGUAGAUCGGG
rnacentral:misc_RNA from 1 species